UACGUAGGGUGCAAGCGUUAAUCGGAAUUACUGGGCGUAAAGCGUGCGCAGGCGGUUUUGUAAGACUGUCGUGAAAUCCCCGGGCUCAACCUGGGAACUGCAUCUGUGACUGCAUCGCUGGAGUGCGGCAGAGGGGGAUGGAAUUCCGCGUGUAGCAGUGAAAUGCGUAGAUAUGCGGAGGAACACCGAUGGCGAAGGCAAUCCCCUGGGCCUGCACUGACGCUCAUGCACGAAAGCGUGGGGAGCAAACAGG
rnacentral:rRNA from 1 species